rnacentral:rRNA from 1 species
UACGUAGGUGGCAAGCGUUGUCCGGAUUUACUGGGUGUAAAGGGAGCGUAGGCGGCUGUGUAAGCCAGAAGUGAAAGCCCGUGGCUCAACUGCGGGACUGCUUUUGGAACUACAUGGCUUGAUUGCAGGAGAGGCAAGUGGAAUUCCUAGUGUAGCGGUGAAAUGCGUAGAUAUUAGGAGGAACACCUGUGGCGAAGGCGGCUUGCUGGACUGUGAAUGACGCUGAGGCUCGAAAGCGUGGGUAGCAAACA